UCCCUGACUCUCUCACUCUCUCUCUCUGCCUCUCUCACACACUCUCUCUCCCUGCCUCUCUCACACACUCUCUCUCCCUGCCUCUCUCACACACACUCUCCCUCUCCCUGACACUCUCCCUGACUCUCUCACUCUCUCUCUCUGCCUCUCUCACACACUCUCUCUCCCUGCCUCUCUCUCACACACACUCUCUCUCCCUGCCUCUCUCUCACACACACUCUCUAUCCCUGCUUCUCUCUCACAGUCUCUCACACUCCCUCUCUCUGCCUCUCUCACACACUCUCUCUCCCUGCCUCUCUCUCACACACACUCUCUCUCCCUGCCUCUCUCUCACACACACUCUCUAUCCCUGCCUCUCUCUCACAGUCUCUCACACUCUCCAUCCCUGCCUCUCUCUCACACACAGUCUCUAUCCCUCAUUUUCAUAAACCCCCUCACUUUCUCUCACUCACGUACGCUCCCUCCUACCCACCCUCUUUCCUCCCUACCUCCCUCUCUACCACCCUCUCUCCCUCCCUCCAUCUCUCUUCUGACAGAUAUAUCGUCAUUGUGCGGGCAGGCGGAAGGAGCUGGGUUGAACUUGAGAACGGCACACGAGAGGAGACGGAGGAAAGGACAUGAUGCUGCUGCAGUAACCGACAUCGUUGUUAAAACAUCGCAGCAACCAGCGUAGCAACCAGCGUGUCAAGAAUGGAGCUGAUGAUAAUUAUCCUCCUGCUAACUCUAGCCCAGUCUGCAGAGAGUGGAGGAAAACCUGCUAAGAAAGUCAAGAAGGGAAAGCAAGUCAUAUGUCCUUCACAGCUGUCUGCAGAGGAGAUUGCUCAGGUACCAGCCAACUCCACCAGCAACAUCCUCAACAGGCUGAUGGUGACAUAUGACUCUCGGAUACGACCCAACUUUAAAGGUUAGUUACAUAUAUGCAACCAACUCAAUGGCCUUGUUGUGGAGUGUCCGCCCUGGGAUUGAACACCGAACAAACAAGCCUAACACCACACACAGCCCUAACCAACGUUAAUGGUUAGUAG